rnacentral:lncRNA from 1 species
AAGUUUUACAACUUUAUAAUAUAAUGAUUGCAUGGUUAGAAUGCCUUCAUGAUAUGACCCGUUCAUCCUUAUCCAUCCAAACAAGGAAUCCAAAUCCAUGUAUUGCCAUUUUAUUUCAUAAUUUACUUGCCUAAUCAUAAACUCUUGUUAAUAAAGAACAUUAACAUGCUACUUAAAUUGCAAAGUUUCCAUUUGGUUCUGGGAAGUGGAAACAAAUUAAGAGAGAGAGAGAAAGAAAGAACGGUUGGUAGGCAGGUGAAGAGAAAGCUAAAAGGAAAAGCAUGAUACUUGUAGCAUGAAAGCACGAGAGGUUCAAUUCUAUUUCCUAUUUUAUCUCUUCCUAUACAUUUUUCUCCCUCACAUUACUUCGUAUGCCCAUUACUCAGAUGUUAAAUAAUUUUUUUGCCCUCUAUUAUUAUCCAAGAGGGAAAGUAAAAGUGUUUCAGGGUUUCACAAGAGAAGAUAAGUCUGAAUCCAAAAGCGCUUCCAUCCGAAUUUGAAAGUACUCUCUCCCAUCACUUCAUAUGCCCUUUACUCAUCAUUAUUGUAUUGUUCACAAUCUGUAUCCUAUGAUCCAGUUAAAAAUAUACUGAAACAAUCGGAAGAAGAUAAAUAGAACAGCAAAACAUAGAUCGGAAUCCAAUUUAGGAUUGUGCAAUCCCAUGGAUAGUCAAAUCAUGAACAAUGGAUAGUCUAAUCCACUUAAUAAAGGCCAAGGGGCCCUUUUCAUGCAUGGAAGCAAUCCAUGCCACUCUUUUGGGUGCACGAACAAUGGGGCACCCUUGUUUCCAUAUGCAUAGGACCGGUCACCUUACAAUUAAUUUUUUUUAAAAAGUCUCAACUAAAAAUAAUAUUUUAUUCCCUCCACUUCAUAUGCCCUUUCCUUUAAUAUUAGACAAUAUCUUAGCCCUAUGUUGCCCUCCAAGAGGGGAAAGAAAAAUAGUUUUGGAGGUUUUCUAGGAGAAGAAUCUAAUCCAAAUCUAAAAGCUCUUCCAUCCAAAUCUGAAAGUCCUCCUCCCCAUGUGCUUCUACAUGGAUGGAGAACCGAAAUUAAGCGCUUAGUGCAAUAUAUUAUUUGACCUAUAUUCUAAUUUUGGGUGCAAAACCUAAGUACCUUAGAACCUUUAACAUUAUGCUUGUGCUAGAUUUUUGCUAGAUAGUUUUGAUCAUAGUUUUCUUGUGAUUUCUAGAUCUUUUUUCCCUCAUUUUUCGUUUGCUCUUAUGAUUUGUAAUUGUUCAAAUAUGCUAAGAAGGAAGAAGAAUAGUGGUGGUACUAUAGCUAUUUAGAUGGUAUACAUUGUUUUUCAUCUUUUAUAUUAUAUCUGUUCUUUUUUUUUCUUAAAUUUUUUUUUAAGAAAUUGCAAUCUAUGAUCAAUCCAACCCCAACCGUUCUACAAUUUACAAUACAAUCAUGAUAUUUACAGCAUUGCUACUUGUUCCCUACAAUAUAUAUUUGAGAUCUACAUUAUUAAGGACCACAUCUUUGCAAAUAUCAAUUACAGUUAUCAAUUCUCUUUAUCAAAUCUUGUGCAAAAGUCAAGUUAACUAGGAGCCCAUGACAUGUAUGUUAGCCAUUAUAUUGACUAAAGUUCAUAAUGCAUAUCAAAUUUAUAGCUAAACUUUUAAUACAUAAUAUGCAAGUUCAAAAGAUCAUAAUCAGAUAAUCAAAAUUGUUUAAACAGAAUUAUAUAUCAUUAAUUGGAUACCUUUCUCCCGUUUUCCUAAACCACCCAAUCCAAAUACGUCAUCACACUGCAACCAAAACCUAAUGGAAAACAAUCAAUAGUUAGAGGAAGAAAACUUUAAGAGAAUGAUGCAUGAAAUAAAAAAAUCAGAGAGUUAAAACUUAUUCAUAAAUAACCGUAUUGAGAUGCUAACAUAGAUAUGAAGGAACUAUUAAGUUUCAGCAAUUACAAAUCUAAAAGCAUAAUUAAUGACUUUGUAUCAUUUUCAGUGCAAAACCAACCCUGACUAUUAAGAUUGAUAUUUCCCCCAUUACUCAACCAAUAUAUGCUAUUGGACUGAAAUUAUCUUAAUCAUUGAGAUCCAGCGAACACAUAAACUGUGUUUUAGUGGAUUUUAUGCGCAAUUGGUUUUAUUAUACCAUGUAUUCUCACAGCAGCAUGACACAAUUAUGUGGAAGGAAAUCUCGACCAUCUUGAUUAGAGAACAAAUUUUCCAUUUUUCUAGAUGGCAUUCACUGCCUUUUGGGAACACAUGGGAAAUCGAUUCAUUUUCAUUUCCUCAGGCUAAAAAAUCAGUUUAUAUAACUUUACCAGAUCUUAAUAAUAAUAAUAAUAAUAAUAAUUAAUCAUAAUAACAAUAUACAGAACAACUAGCAGGAAGCAAGGCGUGACGUACCGAUCUUCAAGUUCACAUAUCAGUACCUUACAUGAUUUUGUAUCGUACCAACAUGUAGCAUAUCUCUUAGUGCCGGGACAGAAAAAUAGAGAUGAAAUAUUGAUGUCUUAAAAUGGGUACGGGUACCUAACCAGCUGGAUGACCAAAUAUGUAUCGAUAUGCAGCAGAUAUAAAUCUUUGACAGAAAGCAGGAAUUUCAGAGAAUAAUAUAAUUUUGUCCGUCAGUGGAAAUACCAAAUGAGUCUAGAUAUCAGUUCAUUAUAACUUGUAUGGAGGCUGAAGAAUAUUUGAACUGUUCUAAAAUAUCAGGCAUCUCAUUUCAUACAUAUCGACAAAGAUUUCAAAUAUCAGCAAUAUAAUAUGGACAGAGUAAACUAAGUUUAUCCAACGAUUCUGCCAUACAAAAAAGGUAAUAAAAAAUCUCAUAAUAAAUCUGAGAACAAGAACUUAGGUCCAUAAACUUAUAUCAUAUCGGUCUAUGUUAUUAGCGGAAAUAUCAUAAUACAUCUGAGAACAACAACUUAGUUCCAUAAUAAUAUCAUCCAAACAGGUGCCAUGAAAAUCAACCUAAGAAGACAGUGAGAAAUAUUUUUCGUCGCUGCUUCUCUCUCUUUUUUCAACCCAUAGUAAUAUUUUUCAACCGAAAUCUCAUAUAGGCUUCUGAGGUUUCAGAUAUCACGUUAGAAUUUCUUGUGUCACCUCAGGGGAGUGGUAUCAGAGUGUCUCUAAAGGUGGAAACAAGAGAAUAAACAAAUCAACGAGAGGGUUAAGAGAACUCUUUUACCUUGGAUUGAGAGCGGAACCGCAUCCUGGAGGUCUCCAGCAAUGGGACAAGAGAGGAAGGUUUUGGAAGGAGAGCCGCCGGAGAGAAUCCAUGCUUAAGGGUUGAAGCAUAGAACGGAAAGGACGAGGAGGGCGGUCGGCGUUGCUCCGUUCCCCCAAGCCAGGCGGCGACGAGAUCGGGAUUUGAAGGGGGAGAAAGGAAGGAGGGCGAAAGAUAGAGAGAGAGAGAGAGAGAGAGAGAAGAGAGACGAGGCUGCCGGUCUCCUGCGUUGGUACCGAGCGCCGCUACUCUGAGCCGCGGCCUGCGAGGGUGGCGCUU